ACCAUGGUAAAUGGUUCGACGAGAUUCCGUCGUCGAAAUUUAUGGUUUUGCAUAUUUGCACAGUGGAACUAUCAGGUUUAUUAAGUAUCAACGUCUUUAUCAACGCAGCUGCGCAUAAUUAUUCUACUUAGUUUAACUCUCUUUCUAUUUUAGCUGAAUUCCAUUCCCUCCCUCUUCGAGAUGAUUGCUUCCGUCAAUUGCGAAGGACUCGCUCAAGAUAGAGAGAUAAUAUUAAGACGAGCGGAUCGAUAAAUCGAAGAAUUAAUUCAUAAACUCGAUUGUGUUUCAUAUAGUUUCAUCUGCAAGAUGGUAGACUUCUUCACUUCUCAGUUCUCAAAGCUCGACGAUCUUCAUAUUAUAUUAUACUUAUAGGAUAAAGGUUGUUAUUUUAUUUUUUAAAUUAAGUACAUUCAUUUAACAAUUCACUUUAUUUGAUAGCUUCUUUUGAUUAACCCCUCCAAGCUCGAUAUUAUAUUUUAUCAUUAAUAUUAUCUGCCAUUUGUUCAAUUAGUUACAUUUCCAGGGUCAAAUUACAGAUAGUAAUUGAGAGCGGCUUUAGAAAUCAGGGAACGUGACCUAUACAUAGCAUAGAUUAUCUCUUAAUCAGCUGAAUUCUGUUCAACGAGUACAGUAGACACAAGAAAACCUCAAGAAAGCUUCUAGACUACUCCGCUUACUGUCACAACACUAUUCAACCAACGAGUUUUCGAAGAUUAUCACCCUGGGACACUCUUCUGCUUCAUUCUCAAGGCACAACACCACAACUUCAGAAGAUGCAAGGAGCGUGUUCUUAAC